GACGAACGCUGGCGGCGUGCUUAACACAUGCAAGUCGAACGGAAAGGCCCUGCUUUUGUGGGGUGCUCGAGUGGCGAACGGGUGAGUAACACGUGAGUAACCUGCCCUUGACUUUGGGAUAACUUCAGGAAACUGGGGCUAAUACCGGAUAGGAGCUCCUGCUGCAUGGGGGGGGUUGGAAAGUUUCGGCGGUUGGGGCUGGACUCGCGGCUUAUCAGCUUGUUGGUGGGGUAGUGGCUUACCAAGGCUUUGACGGGUAGCCGGCCUGAGAGGGUGACCGGCCACAUUGCGACUGAGAGACGGACCAGACUCCUACGGGCGGCAGCAGUCGGGAAUAUUGCACAAUGGGCGGAAGCCUGAUGCAGCAGCGUCGCGUGCGGGAUGACGGCCUUCGGGUUGUAAACCGCUUUCGCCGGUGACGAAGCGUGAGUGACGGUAAUGGGUAAAGAAGCACCGGCUAACUACGUG
rnacentral:rRNA from 1 species